rnacentral:rRNA from 1 species
GAUGAACGCUGGCGGCGUGCCUAAUACAUGCAAGUCGAGCGAACAGAUGAGGAGCUUGCUCCUCUGACGUUAGCGGCGGACGGGAGAGUAACACGUGGAUAACCUACCUAUAAGACUGGGAUAACUUCGGGAAACCGGAGCUAAUACCGGAUAAUAUAUUGAACCGCAUGGUUCAAUAGUGAAAGACGGUUUUGCUGUCACUUAUAGAUGGAUCCGCGCCGCAUUAGCUAGUUGGUAAGGUAACGGCUUACCAAGGCAACGAUGCGUAGCCGACCUGAGAGGGUGAUCGGCCACACUGGAACUGAGACACGGUCCAGACUCCUACGGGAGGCAGCAGUAGGGAAUCUUCCGCAAUGGGCGAAAGCUUGACGGAGCAACGCCGCGUGAGUGAUGAAGGUCUUCGGAUCGUAAAACUCUGUUAUUAGGGAAGAACAAAUGUGUAAGUAACUAUGCACGUCUUGACGGUACCUAAUCAGAAAGCCACGGCUAACUACGUG